rnacentral:rRNA from 1 species
UGCGGGUCCUUGCUCUUUCGGGAGUAGGGAUGUGCGUUGCGCUUAUCAAGUGCUGUGCGCUCUGGGGGUUGCCGGGCUGGCUUGCCAGUGCACUUUCUCGGAGUGGUCACCACGACCGGCGUUGUUGUCUUACUGCUGUAGUCGAACCGGUCAGGUUCGGUCCUUGUGGCUGAGCUUGAUCGGGAUGGCAGGUAGCUCAUUGGUUGGCUUGUCCAGUCUUUGGGUGUAAUCAGCUGUCUGCAGUGGUUUUGUGCAAUGCGUCGGGGACGGCGGCUUUAGGUAUGUGCUUUUGUGCUGUGAGUCGGCGGUAUCGAGUUUGAUUAGCGUGUUACUUGUUUCGGCAGGUCCGUUGGUAGCUCGAUAUUGUUCGGUUUGCAGUUGCAAUUGUGAUACCGUUCAUGGGCCUAUAGUCUGUGGUGUAGCAGCAAACGAUCCACCUGACCCGUCUUGAAACACGGACCAAGGAGUUUAACAUGUGCGCGAGUCAUUGGGCGUUACGAAACCCAAAGGCGCAGUGAAAGUGAAGGUUCGGCUUGUCCGGACUGAGGUGAGAUCCUGUGGCUUCUCGUGCUAGGUACCACCAAGCAAGUGAGCUAUAGGCGCAUCACCAGCCCGUCUCAUGGCGUUGUCAUAUGGCCUCGUGCUGUGUGCAUCACCGGGGCGGAGCUUGAGCGUACAUGUUGAGACCCGAAAGAUGGUG